UAUUGGUGGUGCAGGAUAUCUUUGAGGAGACACUUAAACCUCUCUCAUGAAUAAUAGAGAUUAUCAUCUGGGUUUUGUUUGAAACUCAAGAUCUUACUCCUCAAUCU
rfam:Capsicum annuum cultivar Zunla-1 chromosome 4, whole genome shotgun sequence